rnacentral:rRNA from 1 species
UACGUAGGGGGCAAGCGUUGUCCGGAAUCAUUGGGCGUAAAGGGCGCGUAGGUGGUUCUGUAUGUCUACCGUGAAAGCGUACGGCUCAACCGUAUUUUGUCGGUAGAAACUGCAGGACUUGAGGCUGGGAGGGGCUGGUGGAAUUCCCUGUGUAGCGGUGAAAUGCGUAGAGAUGGGGGAGAACACUCGUGGCGAAGGCGGCCAGCUAGACCAGUUCUGACACUGAGGCGCGACAGCGUGGGGAGCAAACAGG